rnacentral:rRNA from 1 species
AUUGAACGCUGGCGGCAUGCUUUACACAUGCAAGUCGAACGGUAACAGGCCGCAAGGUGCUGACGAGUGGCGAACGGGUGAGUAAUGCAUCGGAACGUGCCCAGUCGUGGGGGAUAACGCAGCGAAAGCUGCGCUAAUACCGCAUACGAUCUAUGGAUGAAAGCGGGGGACCGUAAGGCCUCGCGCGAUUGGAGCGGCCGAUGUCAGAUUAGGGAGUUGGUGGGGUAAAGGCUCACCAAGCCAACGAUCUGUAGCUGGUCUGAGAGGACGACCAGCCACACUGGGACGUAGACACGGCCCAGACUCCUACGGGAGGCAGCAGUGGGGAAUUUUGGACAAUGGGCGCAAGCCUGAUCCAGCAAUGCCGCGUGCAGGAAGAAGGCCUUCGGGUUGUAAACUGCUUUUGUACGGAACGAAAAGGCUCUGGUUAAUACCUGGGGCUCAUGACGGUACCGUAAGAAUAAGCACCGGCUAACUACGUGCCAGCCGCCGCCGUAAGAC